rnacentral:lncRNA from 1 species
UCUCUGGUUAGCUGUAUCCUCAGCUAUCAAUUCAUUGCCACGGUUUUACAGGUAAUCUAGUACUGAUUUCUCUCUAGAUUUUUAACAAUCAUUCAGCACAAGGAUCUGAUUGCUUGAUUUUUUUUUUUUUUAAAUUAUGUCUUCUAAAGUUGAGUUUGGUGUGUAAUUUAGACUGACCAAUACUUACAUGUUCUUACAAGAACAUUGAAAUGUGCUUGGUUAACAUUUAGUUGUGUUGUUGCAAGGCUCCAGAGGAUAGGUGGUGGGGUCGGUAUUGAACCGAGCUGAAGAGCUGACAGUUGAGCCGAUGUAGAUUGCGAGCGAAUCUGCAAAAGAAGACCAAGAAUCGAUAGGGUGUCCUCCGAUUUAGGACUCUUCGAUUCUUAAGUUAGUCGGGGUCUUGAGAACAUGUAGUGGAAAUGGAGAAGUAGAAAGCAGGAAGUAAGAGAUUAAAAAUGCAAAGAAGUGGAGAGAACUCUGAUUGUCCUUAGUAAAAAAUUUAGCAGAGUUUUGUCUCUAUGAAUUCAGACUUACCCUCCGGAGAGUUUUCUAUCCCUUCUUAUAUAAAGAGAGCUUGUUCAGGCCUCCAAGAAAGUUUGUUAGGCCAUUAUGGAUUUGUUAAGCUAUUAGUUUGUUACAACAGAAUGGCCAGCUAUGUAGAGAUAAUGAUGUGUUUGUCCACGUGGUAAUGAAUUAGAAUGUAGCAGGAAGAUAAUUAAUGCUGAGCUAGAUGAUAGCUGCCGAAUAAUUCUGUACUUCUGGUGUUGCAUCGGUAAAUGACCGACGUCAAAUAGUUGACAUCGAUGACUAUCUAAACUGAGUAUCAUGGCUUUAGUAUUAAAAAUCAUGUCGGUCGAGCACUGAAAUAAAGUGUUGCAGGUCGAUCAUAGAUCGAGAUGAGCAUCUCGCCAACCAGUAGUUUUGGAUUAAACCAACUAACAAGUAAUACUGCAGAGGCAGAUCGGUAAUAGGUUGAUAUAAUCUAAAAGUUCAUUUAAUCUAGAUAAUAAUUAAUCUGCUGUCACAUAUUCAGAUGGUGAUG